CGCAGUUUUGCACCAUUGAGCCAUUUCAACCAGAAUUAAAUUUUGCUUAUUUACAAAAAAAAUCCUACGGAACGAAACAAGGUAAAUCUCUACCUUUCGUUGAUAGCAUUUUAUAAGGACCAAGCGGAUACGAAAUCAAGAAUUUGUACAACGAUUACCAAGCUACCAAGCAUGUACGGCCAUCUUGGAGAAGGAAUCAGCUCGAGCUGUCAGGCGAUCACCGAUAUCCGAUACUGCAGGUUAGCGGACACGGAUGUUUAUCCAACGGCUUUCCGCCAGUAGGCAUACUAAUCAAUGUGAAAAGAUUGGUCGAGAUUCCUGGUUAUAAAUACGGAGGCGUUUAAAGGCAUAGUGGGCGCAGGUGGCUAAAGGUCAAGAAUCGGAUUCGGGAUUAGCUAGGCGGUAAACCAACAAAAAUCUCAGUCUUGUCCUAAAAGACGCUAAAAACGCCCGCAAAAACUUCAACUACGCGAGUACAUCAGAUACAGGGCGGACGAUGCGUGGUGACUAUGUUGUGGUCUGACCGCUUCAAUUUUAUAUAAUUACCAUUUCGCUCAUUCGGGAUGGGCGCCAGAGCCUCUUCACGGCUAGCACUGGUGCUUGUAUGGACGUAAUGCCGUGCUGUGAGCCAGGAGUCCUGCCCAAUGCAUCGAACAUCACAACCGCUGCUGAUGCUGACUAUUAGCUCGACAAGGCUGGCAAUCUAGUCAGCCGCAGAAUCCACGAGUACUGGCGAAUGAUAUUCGCCGGUUUUCGUGGUGAUCAAGGUGAUCAAGGGUGAUGAAGCCUACUUUUGACGUUUACUGGUGUCCAGGCUGACGUUCGAUAAAGCUUUUAACGAUUCUUCUACUCACAUUGUUAGCUAAAGUGCUCAGUGUGUUUGCCACUCACGCAUAUAUGUACCGAUACGUAAGAAGCUCAUGCUUCAUGCUACCUGUCGAUUGUUUUUUCUGUUUU
rnacentral:lncRNA from 1 species